GACGAACGCUGGCGGCGUGCCUAAUACAUGCAAGUAGAACGCUGAAGCUUGGUGCUUGCACCGAGCGGAUGAGUUGCGAACGGGUGAGUAACGCGUAGGUAACCUGCCUGGUAGCGGGGGAUAACUAUUGGAAACGAUAGCUAAUACCGCAUAAGAGUAGAUGUUGCAUGACAUUUGCUUAAAAGGUGCAAUUGCAUCACUACCAGAUGGACCUGCGUUGUAUUAGCUAGUUGGUGGGGUAACGGCUCACCAAGGCGACGAUACAUAGCCGACCUGAGAGGGUGAUCGGCCACACUGGGACUGAGACACGGCCCAGACUCCUACGGGAGGCAGCAGUAGGGAAUCUUCGGCAAUGGACGGAAGUCUGACCGAGCAACGCCGCGUGAGUGAAGAAGGUUUUCGGAUCGUAAAGCUCUGUUGUAAGAGAAGAACGAGUGUGAGAGUGGAAAGUUCACACUGUGACGGUAUCUUACCAGAAAGGGACGGCUAACUACGUGCCAGCAGCCGCGGUAAUACGUAGGUCCCGAGCGUUGUCCGGAUUUAUUGGGCGUAAAGCGAGCGCAGGCGGUUAGAUAAGUCUGAAGUUAAAGGCUGUGGCUUAACCAUAGUACGCUUUGGAAACUGUUUAACUUGAGUGCAAGAGGGGAGAGUGGAAUUCCAUGUGUAGCGGUGAAAUGCGUAGAUAUAUGGAGGAACACCGGNNNGCGAAAGCGGCUCUCUGGCUUGUAACUGACGCUGAGGCUCGAAAGCGUGGGGAGCAAACAGG
rnacentral:rRNA from 1 species